rnacentral:rRNA from 1 species
CCCUUAGAUGUUCUGGGCCGCACGCGCGCUACACUGAUGCAUUCAACGAGUUUCUUCCUUGUCCGAGAGGAAUGGGUAACCUUUUGAAAGUGCAUCGUGAUAGGGAUAGACUAUUGCAAUUAUUGGUCUUCAACGAGGAAUUCCUAGUAGACGUAGUUCAUCAGACUGCAUCGAUUACGUCCCUGCCCUUUGUACACACCGCCCGUCGCUCCUACCGAUUGAAUGCUCAGGUGAGCCAUUCGGACUUUCAUCAUGCUGGUUUCCAGUUUUGAUGAAGGAAAGUCUUGCGAACCUUAUCAUUUAGAGGAAGGAGAAGUCGUAACA